rnacentral:rRNA from 1 species
UACGUAGGGGGCUAGCGUUAUCCGGAAUUACUGGGCGUAAAGGGUGCGUAGGUGGUUUCUUAAGUCAGAGGUGAAAGGCUACGGCUCAACCGUAGUAAGCCUUUGAAACUGAGAAACUUGAGUGCAGGAGAGGAGAGUAGAAUUCCUAGUGUAGCGGUGAAAUGCGUAGAUAUUAGGAGGAAUACCAGUUGCGAAGGCGGCUCUCUGGACUGUAACUGACACUGAGGCGCGAUAGCGUGGGGAGCGAACAGG